AACGAACGCUGGCGGCAGGCUUAACACAUGCAAGUCGAACGCCCCGCAAGGGGAGUGGCAGACGGGUGAGUAACGCGUGGGAAUCUACCCAUCUCUGCGGAAUAGCUCCGGGAAACUGGAGUUAAUACCGCAUACGCCCUACGGGGGAAGGAUUUAUCGGGGAUGGAUGAGCCCGCGUUGGAUUAGCUAGUGGGUGGGGUAAAGGCCUACCAAGGCGACGAUCCAUAGCUGGUCUGAGAGGAUGAUCAGCCACAUUGGGACUGAGACACGGCCCAAACUCCUACGGGAGGCAGCAGUGGGGAAUAUUGGACAAUGGGCGCAAGCCUGAUCCAGCCAUGCCGCGUGAGUGAUGAAGGCCUUAGGGUUGUAAAGCUCUUUCACCGGUGAAGAUAAUGACGGUAACCGGAGAAGAAGCCCCGGCUAACUUCGUGCCAGCAGCCGCCGUAA
rnacentral:rRNA from 1 species